rnacentral:rRNA from 1 species
UACGUAGGGUGCAAGCGUUGUCCGGAAUUAUUGGGCGUAACGAGCUCGUAGGCGGUUUGUCGCGUCUGGUGUGAAAAUCCAGGGCUUAACCCUGGACCUGCAUCGGGUACGGGCAGACUAGAGUUCGGUAGGGGAGUCUGGAAUUCCUGGUGUAGCGGUGAAAUGCGCAGAUAUCAGGAGGAACACCGGUGGCGAAGGCGGGACUCUGGGCCGAUACUGACGCUGAGGAGCGAAAGCGUGGGGAGCAAACAGG